UUAAUACUCCCUCCGUCCGAAAAUACUUGUCAUUAAAAUGGAUAAAAGAGGAUGCAUCUAGACGUAUUUUAGUUCUAGAUACAUCUCUUUUUAUCCAUUUUGAUGACAAGUAUUUUCGAACGGAGGGAGUAUGUU
rnacentral:pre_miRNA from 1 species